rnacentral:rRNA from 1 species
CACGGGGGUUGCGAGCGUUGUCCGGAAUUACUGGGCGUAAAGGGCGCGCAGGCUGUUAUGCGAGUCUGCUGUGAAAUGUACCGGCUCAACCGGUGCCUUGCGGCGGAUACUGCAUAGCUGGAGUACUGGAGAGGGAAGUGGAAUUCCCGGUGUAGCGGUGAAAUGCGUAGAUAUCGAGAGGAACACCGGUGGCGAAGGCGGCUUUCUGGCCAGUUACUGACGCUCAUGCGCGAAAGCUGGGGUAGCGAACCGGAUUAGAUACCCCGGUA